rnacentral:rRNA from 1 species
AUUGAACGCUGGCGGCAUGCCUUACACAUGCAAGUCGAACGGUAACAGGUCUUCGGAUGCUGACGAGUGGCGAACGGGUGAGUAAUAUAUCGGAACGUGCCCAGUCGUGGGGGAUAACGCAGCGAAAGCUGUGCUAAUACCGCAUACGAUCUAUGGAUGAAAGCGGGGGAUCGCAAGACCUCGCGCGAUUGGAGCGGCCGAUAUCAGAUUAGGUAGUUGGUGGGGUAAAGGCCCACCAAGCCAACGAUCUGUAGCUGGUCUGAGAGGACGACCAGCCACACUGGAACUGAGACACGGUCCAGACUCCUACGGGAGGCAGCAGUGGGGAAUUUUGGACAAUGGGCGCAAGCCUGAUCCAGCAAUGCCGCGUGCAGGAUGAAGGCCUUCGGGUUGUAAACUCCUGUCUGGGGGAUGAACACUGACAGUACCCCGGAGGAACGCCCCGGCUAACUACGUG